GUGCUUUGGGGCGUGGCUACCUUGUGAUCGAAAAGUUCCGGUCACGCACUGCGACCUGCAUGUCAGGAUGGAGCAUUGCGUAUCCAUGGAGCUGUGUAAAGUCACUGAAGGAGUCGGCUGGUCAAUUUAUCUGCUAAAUGUGGUUACCUUGUUAGUGCAAACUGGACCCCAUCUAAACACGUCACAUCUGUGCAGGAGGAGCAGUUCUUCACAGAAAAGAAGGUAUCCACACUGUGAAAACUGAAUGACCAGUGCCAGUAGAAGGAAGACUUCAUGUAUGGAGCAGUGUAUUUGGUGCCAUUCAUCUGGUUGUG